GUUCCUGUAGCUCAACUGGAUAGAGCCCUGUUCUACGAAAUCAGGGGUUGGGGGUUCAAAUCCCUCCAGGAACG
rnacentral:tRNA from 1 species